rnacentral:lncRNA from 1 species
GGAGAGCCUUUUGCUGUCUUCACUUCCUUACACUUUUGAUCAAAAGCUCUUCCCUGUCGAACUGAUUUCUCUGACGGAAGCUGGAGACAUGUCCCUGUUGGUUAUCCUGCAUUUUCAUUUUGUCCUUGAGGGUUUUCUUCUCUCCCAUCCUUCUUUGGUACUCAGACAACUUAUCAGUGAGUUAGAACCAUCCCCUAGAGGACUCUAUGUUUCAGAAUUCCCUACUUGGUGAAAUCUGGUGCUGGAAUGAACACUGGCCUGCUUUCACUCCGAACAGCCUGUAUCUGUUCUCCAGUGUCAAUCCACUCUGCAAAGGGGGAAAAUUAUAUGGUACCAUAAAUGUGCAAAUAUUGCUUUAAGUAGUACUUGGCCUAUGGAUGUCUGCUUCUGACCUUUCCUCGCCUUUCCUCCUGGUUGUUCUUUUGUGUUUCUCUUACCCGGUCCUCCUUUCCCUGGCCUCCUCCUCUUCACUUUGGUUCUUGGGCAGCUGCUACUGUGAAGACAGUGCAUCUCCCAUCUGCUUCCAACAUAUGGGACCAAGGCUGUUGCUUCCAAAGUCCUCCUGUUUGCUGUUCAAAACAGGAUUCACAGAGGGUUGGUACAAGUCAACUGGCAUUGAUCCCUGGCCAUAAAAACAGAGAUGGAGCGGAGAGUGAUCUAUGACUUUAUCUGGAUCAUCAAGACAGCCAUCUUGAAAGGCCUGAGUUGCCAAGCUGGUUGAUGUAAUCCUGAAGCUGUUGGCGGUUGUUCUGCUUUCUGAAGAGGAACCCUGUUUAAGACUAAGGACAGAAGAGGAAUCAAGAAGGGGAAGGAAACGUAGGGCAAGCAAGGAAGGCAGAUCAAGUCAUAACAAUGGCCAACUGGAGAGCUGCUGGACACAGCCACUUUUGAAAAUGCAAUCUGAUCUUGAGUUUUACAGUUUUGGUCCAUGAGUUUCUCCUUUGAUGAGACUUCAGUUUUCUACCACUGGCCAACCAAACAGUUUUCACUGAUGGAGCUCUUCCGGAUUUGUUUUUAUGUUCUGUCUUUUCCAUCUCUCUCUCUAUCCACUGUUGAUCCCUGACCCAUCUCCCUUUGAGAGACUCUGAUGACCUUAUUAUCGUGUGUGUGUGUGUGUGUGUGUGUGUGUGUGUGUGUGUGUGUGUGUGUGUGUAGACAGAGUUUCCCUGGGUAGCCCUGGCUAUCCUGGAACUUAGUCUGUAGACCAGGCUGGCCUCGAGCAGAGAUCUGCCUGCCCCUGCCUCUCAUGUGCUGGCAUUAAAGGCAUGCACUACCAUGCCUGGCCUGACUCUGAUACUUUUAAACUUUAGGUCUUCCUCUGGUGGACAGGGC